rnacentral:rRNA from 1 species
UACGUAGGGGGCUAGCGUUGUCCGGAAUCACUGGGCGUAAAGCGCACGUAGGCGGAUUGUUAAGUCAGGGGUGAAAUCCUGGAGCUCAACUCCAGAACUGCCUUUGAUACUGGCGAUCUUGAGUCCGGGAGAGGUGAGUGGAACUGCGAGUGUAGAGGUGAAAUUCGUAGAUAUUCGCAAGAACACCAGUGGCGAAGGCGGCUCACUGGCCCGAUACUGACGCUGAGGCACGAAAGCGUGGGGAGCAAACAGG